rnacentral:rRNA from 1 species
CCUACGGGGUGCAGCAGUGAGGAAUAUUGGUCAAUGGACGAGAGUCUGAACCAGCCAAGUAGCGUGAAGGAUGACUGCCCUAUGGGUUGUAAACUUCUUUUAUAUGGGAAUAAAAUGUUACAUGUGUGGGAUUUUGUAUGUACCAUAUGAAUAAGGAUCGGCUCACUCCGUGCCAGCAGCCGCGGUAAUACGGAGGAUCCGAGCGUUAACCGGAUUUAUUGGGUUUAAAGGGAGCGUAGGUGGAAUGUUAAGUCAGUUGUGAAAGUUUGCGGCUCAACCGUAGAAUUGCAGUUGAAACUGGCAGUCUUGAGUACAGGAGAGGUGGGCGGAAUUCGUGGUGGAGCGGUGAAAUGCGUAGAGAUCACGAAGAACUCCGAUUGCGAAGGCAGUUCACUGGACUGCAACUGACACUGAGGCUCGAAAGUGUGGGUAUCAAACAGGAUUAGAUACCCUUGUAGUC